rnacentral:rRNA from 1 species
GACGAACGCUGGCGGCGUGCUUAACACAUGCAAGUCGAACGGAAAGGCCCUGCUUGCAGGGUACUCGAGUGGCGAACGGGUGAGUAACACGUGGGUGAUCUGCCCUGCACUUCGGGAUAAGCCUGGGAAACUGGGUCUAAUACCGGAUAGGAGCCAUUUUUAGUGUGAUGGUUGGAAAGUUUUUUCGGGGUAGGAUGAGCUCGCGGCCUAUCAGCUUGUUGGUGGGGUAAUGGCCUACCAAGGCGGCGACGGGUAGCCGGCCUGUGAGGGUGGACGGCCACCUUGGGACUGAGAGACGGCCCAGACUCCUACGGGAGGCAGCAGUGGGGAAUAUUGCACAAUGGGCGCAAGCCUGAUGCAGCGACGCCGCGUGGGGGAUGACGGCCUUCGGGUUGUAAACUCCUUUCGCUAGGGACGAAGCUUUUUGUGACGGUACCUAGACAAGAAGCCCCGGCUAACUACGUG